rnacentral:rRNA from 1 species
UGCUCGAGUGGCGAACGGGUGAGUAACACGUGGGUGAUCUGCCCUGCACUUCGGGAUAAGCUUGGGAAACUGGGUCUAAUACCGGAUAGGACCAUCGUUUAGUGUCGGUGGUGGAAAGUUUUUUCGGUGUGGGAUGAGCUGCGGCCUAUCAGCUUGUUGGUGGGGUAAUGGCCUACCAAGGCGUCGACGGGUAGCCGGCCUGAGAGGGUGUACGGCCACAUUGGGACUGAGAUACGGCCCAG